ACGAUUUUGAAAGUUUGACCAAACCAGAUUUAUCUCCGAUUCCUGGUCCAACCGGUUGAACCGGUUGAUUCGGUCUGGUUUUUAAAACACUGUCUAAAAUGAAAAUUUGAAUUUAAAAAUAAAAUAAAAGAUGUUUAAAUGCAUCUUUUUAAUAAUUUAAAAUAUUUUUUUAUAUUUUUUUGUCUAUCACUCUUUGCUUAUCCCCUUUGUUUUAUGAAAGACAAAAUGAUUCUGCAUAUAUUCUUAAUCAAUUUAGAUGCCACUCAUCAAAACAAGGCCACCAAUAUAAUAAAGUGUUUUUAAUAGGUAUGUGUAUUUUGUUUUUCACCAUUAAAUUUUUAUAUUUUAUAAUGUAUAUACUUAUUAUCCAUUUUUUAUUACUUUUUCAUGAACAUGUAGGAAACAAAGAGAGUUUGAAGGUGGAGGGGGAAGUCGGGUAUGAUGAUCUUUACGACCAAGUCUUGGAGUUCUACCGUAGUAAAUACUGCAGAAAGGUGAUGAAGUUAGUAGAUAUAGGAGGAGGUAGGUUUUUAUACUAGAUCUAUUAAAGUUUCAUUCUUACCAAUUCAUCACGUUGUAUAUUUAAAAUUAUCAUAUUUAGUACAUAAUGAACAUAUAUAUUGUCCUUACUAAGAUUCUUGUAUACAGAGCCUACUCAAAUUCUUCAACGUUGGGUUGAAAGUUUUUUCAACUCUAUUAAAAAGUGUGACGUGAAAUAGUUUCGAAAACAAGUAUACAGAGCCUAUUUAUAAUUUUUUUUUUUAAAUUACCAAUUUGAUGAAUUUUUUUUGAACAGUACGAUUUUAUAAUAAUCGGCUCCGAUUAUUUGGUUCGAAUUGUUUUGGAAGGUUCAAUCCGUUUUUUUUUGUUUUACUCCGAUUUUGACCCAUUAACGAUUUUGAAAGGUUGACCAUACCAGAUUUAUCUCCGAUUCCAGGUCCAACCGGUUGAACCGGCUGAUUCGGUCUGGUUUAUAAAACACUGUCUAAAAUGAAAAUUUGAAUUUAAAAAUAAAAUAAAAGAUGUUUAAAUGCAUCUUUUUAAUAAUUUAAAAGAUUUUUUUAUAUUUUUUUGUCUAUCACUCUUUGCUUAUCCCCUUUGUUUUAUGAAAGACAAAAUGAUUCGGCAUAUAUUCUUAAUCAAUUUAGAUGCCACUCAUCAAAACAAGGCCACCAAUAUAAUAAAGUGUUUUUAAUAGGUAUGUGUAUUUUGUUUUUCACCAUUAAAUUUUUAUAUUGUAUAAUGUAUAUACUUAUUAUCCAUUUUUUAUUACUUUUUCAUGAACAUGUAGGAAACAAAGAGAGUUUGAAGGUGGAGGGGGAAGUCGGGUAUGAUGAUCUUUACGACCAAGUCUUGGAGUUCUACCGUAGUAAAUACUGCAGAAAGGUGAUGAAGUUAGUAGAUAUAGGAGGAGGUAGGUUUUUAUACUAGAUCUAUUAAAGUUUCAUUCUUACCAAUUCAUCACGUUGUAUAUUUAAAAUUAUCAUAUUUAGUACAUAAUGAACAUAUAUAUUGUCCUUACUAAGAUUCUUGUAUACAGAGCCUACUCAAAUUCUUCAACGUUGGGUUGAAAGUUUUUUCAACUCUAUUAAAAAGUGUGACGUGAAAUAGUUUCGAAAACAAGUAUACAGAGCCUAUUUAUAUUUUUUUUUUUAAAUUAUCAAUUUGAUGUUUUUUUUUUGAACCGUACGAAUUUAUAAUAAUCGGCUCCGGUUAUUUGGUUCGAAUGGUUUUGGAAGGUUCAAUCCGUUUUUGUUUUUGUUUUACUCCGAUUUUGACCCAUUAACGAUUUUGAAAGUUUGACCAAACCAGAUUUAUCUCCGAUUCCUGGUCCAACCGGUUGAACCGGCUGAU